GACGAACGCUGGCGGCGUGCUUAAUACAUGCAAGUCGAGCGAGGUUACUGUUUUGGAUCCCUUCGGGGUGAAGAAGCUUUAACCUAGCGGCGGACGGGUGAGUAACGCGUGGGUAACCUACCCCAAAGUCCGGGAUAACAGCGGGAAACCGCUGCUAAUACCGGAUGCCUUUACCUUGGGGCAUCUUGAGGUAAAGAAAGGCAACGCUUUGGGAUGGGCCCGCGUCCCAUUAGCUAGUUGGUGAGGUAACGGCUCACCAAGGCGACGAUGGGUAGCCGGCCUGAGAGGGUGGACGGCCACACUGGGACUGAGACACGGCCCAGACUCCUACGGGAGGCAGCAGUAGGGAAUAUUGGGCAAUGGGCGAAAGCCUGACCCAGCCAUGCCGCGUGAGUGAUGAAGGUCCUAGAGAUUGUAAAACUCUUUUCUGAGGAAAGAAUGAAUAGGGAAGGAAAUGUCUUAUUUUGUACGGUACCUCAGGAAUAAGGAACGGCUAACUCCGUGCCAGCAGCCGCGGUAAGCUCGUCUCUA
rnacentral:rRNA from 1 species